CCAAUGGAUUAUUUUCCUGAAUUUAGCAGGCUAUUAUUUUGAUAUUAAUUAAUAACAUUCGUUAAUUUGAACCAUAUCCAACUCAACCUUUUGCUAAAAACUACAAAACUAAAGAGCAACAGCCAAAUUGUAUUACGACUUUUGCGUCUACCUUGGGAAAUCCCUUUCUAUUUGUAUUUCGCGCUUCGUGUCACGUGAUUCACACACAAACAAACAAAAUGGCGGAGGCUUCGAAAUCUACAAUGAGCGUACCAGCCAAAACAGAGGGAGAGAUGAGAAGAAGUAAAUGCGUGAGACAGCCAUCUAAGAGAAUGUUGUAUUCUCAGGACACAGAUUCAGAUUCAAGUCUACAGAAGAGUUAAGGAAAACGUCCUGCCAGAAAGAUCCAGAAAGUUGAUACAUUAGCAACAAUAACUAAGUGGUGCUCUUGUCACAGAUGCCCACAAUACGAGAGAGUGGAAGAUCAAGUUUGCUGUGGGAUGGUCCCAGAAUUAUGCUCAAGUCACAGACCUGAGAUGACUCUUUCGGUGCUGGAUAGGAUGACCCUCUACAGUCAGCAGCAGUAUCAACAAGAUGUGUUUUCCUUUUAUGCAGAGACACUAGAAGAUGUCAAUAAAUCUUUCAGACAUGCUGCAUACAGACAAUUUACCAUCUUAAUGCAUGAGAAUAACUGUCCCAGCAUGUUGUGUUAAAUUAAUAAGGGAGAAGUUUCCUAGUCCUUAAGGCCAGUAUACAGGCUUCGUACCAGGUGAAGGCCCAGUGUUCUAAUAAUUUUGCAUAUUUAUGCCCCCCUUCGAAGAAGAGGGGGUAUAUAGUUUUGCACAUGUUGGUCCUUCCACCAGAUGGUUUCGGGAUGAUAACUUAAGAACGCUUAGGCCUAGGAUCAUGAAACUUCAUAGGUACAUUGAUCAUGACUGUCAAAUAACCCCUAUUGAUUUUCAGGUCACUAGGUCAAAGGUCAGUGACUCGAAACAGUAAAGCGGUUUCCGGAUGAUAACUCAAGAAUGCAUACGCCUAGGAUCUUGAAACUUCAUAGGUACAUUGAUCACGACUGGCAGAGGACCCCUUUAGAUUUUCCGGUCACAAGGUCAAGGUCACAGUGACUCAAAACAAUAAAAUGGUUUCCAGCUGAUAACUCAAGAAUGCUUACGCCUUUUGAUCAUGAAACUUCAUAGCUACAUUGAUAAUGACUGGCAGAUGACCCCUUUUGAUUUUCAGGUCACUAGGUCAAGGUCACAGUGACUCGAAAUAUUAAAAUGGUUUCCUGAUGAUAACUCAAGAAUAAUUAGGCCUAGGAUCAGGAAACUUCAUAGGUACAUUGAUCAUGACUGACAGAUGACCCCUAUUAAUUUUCAGGUCACUAUGUCAAAGGUCAAGGUCACAGUGACAAAAAACGUAUUCACACAAUAGCUGCCACUACAACUGACAGCCCAUAUGGGGGGCAUGCAUGUUUUACAAACAGCCCUUGUUGCUAUUCUUUUUCAUUUAUCAGACAUAGAACUUUUCUUAGUUUUGAUUAUUUUUUGUUCUAGCUCCUUUUUUGAAACAUUUAUAUUUAUGCAAAUCAUUUGAGUUAUGCUUAAUCAUUUGGAUUUUUCAGUUCUAUGCAUUUUGUUUUGAAAAAUCAAUUUGUGUGAAAUGUGCUAGUUUAUUAUUAAAACUUGCACAGCAGUUUUUACAUUUGUAUGCUUACUUUGGUGUCAUUUGAAUGAAAUGCCACGAGUACUCUGGAUUGUAAGAUGAAAGAAAUAAAAGAAGCAAUGACAUAUUUCUUAAAAAUACUAUGUAAAUAAACUAAUUGAAAAUCAAAAUUCAUUUCUUGUAUACUUAUUUUAUUUUCUUGUUUGAACUUAAUAGUUUGAUUUUUACACUUUUUAGCUCACCUGAACACAAUGUGCCCAUGGUGAGCUUUUGUGAUCGCCUUUUGUCCGUCGUGCGGCGUCUACAUUUGCCUUGUUAACGCUCUACAGCCGUACAGGCCACAUUUAUUGCCCAAUCAAAAGAUUGGUCUCAAGGAUAUUUUGGAUGAGUUCAAAAAUGGUAACGUUUGCUUGAAAAGACCGUUCAUAAAAGCAGUCAAUAGUGUAUUACCUGUUUUUAUUUUUAUUUUUUAUAGCUUUUGCUUUUAUUCAAUUUUAAGUUUGCAUUUUGGUUUUUUUUUAUUAUGCCCCCCUUCGAAGAAGAGGAGGUAUGUUGUUCGCUCAUGUCGGUCAGUCGGUCCGUCCGUCCACCGAAUGGUUUCCGGAUUAUAACUCAAGAACACUUACGCCUAGGAUCAUGAAACUUCAUAGGUACAUUGAUCAUGACUCGCAGAUGACCCCUAUUGAUUUUCAGGUCACUAGGUCAAAGGUCAAGGUGACUCGACACAGUAAAAUAGUUUCCGGAUGAUAACUCAAGAAAGCUUACGCCUAGGAUCAUGAAACUUCAUAAGUUCAUUGAUCACGACUCGCAGAUGACCCCUAUUGAUUUUCAGGUGACUAGGUCAAAGGUCAAUGUCACAGUGACAAAAAACGUAUUCACACAAUGGCUGCCACUACAACUGACAGCCCAUAUGGGGGGCAUGCAUGUUUUACAAACAGCCCUUGUUUAUUUUUAUUUCGAGUCAUUUUGUUUCACACUUGAUAUUUGUUAGAUUAGGUUUCUUAAAAUACAUUUUAAACAUGACAUAUGCUAAUGCAUGAUUAAACAUUUCGAAAUCAAUAAAAAAGCAACAAGUUGCUGUUGAAAUUAAAAAAAAUAGUAUCUUAUUAUUGU